AAUCACUUCCCAAGUGAAAUGAUGUUAGGUGAGCAGGCAGCUGGUGGGCCAUUUUAAACCAGAUUUGAAUUGAGAUAAAGGAGAGGUCCCUUUGCACUUCUGUGCUUGAUUCCAGAAUAAGCCAGAGUUGCCUGCCCAUGGGGUGUUUGGAAAGUGGAAAGCUUCCCAAUGCUUGAGCAGUCAUUUCCCCACAGAUGGGUAAGUUGAGGAUACUUUCUGCUACCUGCCUUACAGGUUUGAUGUAAGGAUUAGAGGGUGAGGUAAUGUCUGUGAGUGGCUUCCUGUGCCUGGGAGAAAAACUGCUCAUGUGAGUUGGUGUCAGCUUAGGUAAUAGUAGGUUUGGGGGAUUUGCUUCCUUAGUGGGGCUCCUGGAUAGUCGGCAUCUCCCUUGCAGGGUAAAUAGGAGAGCUUUUUGGUUCAUCUUCUUUCCUUUUUUAAAAUUUUUACAUUCUUUUAUUGACACAUAAUUGUACAUAAUUUAUGGGGUGUGUUGUGAUGUUUAAUGUAUACAAGGUUACAGAGCAUUAUGUAAUGGUCAAAUCAGGGUAAUUAAUGUAUCCAUCACCUUAAACAUUUUUGGCUUAGGUGAGGUUUCCCUGAGCAUCUGCUCAUUUCCACCACCCACCAUCUAAACUGCUGUUCUCUUCAAGGCAGUGUGAGCCUAGGGCCCCUCCCUGGCCCAUCCCUGACCUGUCCUUAG
rnacentral:lncRNA from 1 species